AUUGAACGCUGGCGGCAGGCCUAACACAUGCAAGUCGAGCGGAUGAACGGAGCUCGCUCCUGGAUUCAGCGGCGGACGGGUGAGUAAUGCCUAGGUAUCUGCCCGGUAGUGGGGGAUAACGUACGGAAACGGGCGCUAAUACCCCAUACGCCCAGAGGUAGAAAGUGAGGGAUCUUCGGUCCUCACGCUAUCAGCUGAGACUAGGUCGUAUAAGCUAGUUGGAGGGGUAAAGGCCUACCAAGGCGACGAUCCGUAGCUGACCUGAGAGGAUGAUCGGUCACACUGGAACUGAGACACGGUCCAGACUCCUACGGGAGGCAGCAGUGGGGAAUAUUGCACAAUGGGCGAAAGCCUGAUCCAGCAACGCCGCGUGAGUGAAGAAGGUCUUCGGAUUGUAAAGCACUGUAAGUUGGGAGGAAGGACAGUAAGAUAAUACAUUGCUGUUUUGACGUUACCUAGAGAAUAAGCACCGGCUAACUUCGUG
rnacentral:rRNA from 1 species